rnacentral:rRNA from 1 species
UACGUAGGGGGCUAGCGUUGUCCGGAAUCAUUGGGCGUAAAGCGCGUGUAGGCGGUUCGGUAAGUCCGCUGUGAAAGUCGGGGGCUCAACCCCGUGCCCGCCGCGGAUACUGGGAGGCUGGAGACACGUAGAGGCAAGCGGAAUUCCGGGUGUAGCGGUGGAAUGCGUAGAGAUCCGGAAGAACACCGGAGGCGAAGGCGGCUUGCUGGGCGUAGUCUGACGCUGAGGCGCGAAAGCGUGGGGAGCGAACAGG